rnacentral:rRNA from 1 species
AUAAAUCAUUAAAUUUAGAAGAUUUGGCGGUAUUUUAUAUUAUUAGAGGAACCUGUGAAGUAAUUGAUAAUCCACGAUAAGAUUUACUUGAUAAUUUAUGUAUUGCUGUUUAAAAAUUAUUAUUAAUUAAUUUUUUACAUUUUUAAUUUAAUUUAAUUCAAGUCAAGAUAUAGUUUAAUUAAGUUAUGGGUUACUGUUUUAUUUUGAAAAAGGAUUUAAUAGUAA